rnacentral:lncRNA from 1 species
UUCUCCAAGAAAACCCCCAAUCUGCGAUUGGAAUUCCGAUAGCAAACCACAAGAUUAAUGCCGACGAUCAAGCAGGACAACAAUGGUGCUAACCAUGUGGUGGGUGCGUGACAAAAAGGAGCAGUUUGACCCCUACGAAGUUUAUGGAGUACUUACUUGCAAGUAAUGGAGUUGGAUCACCGUUGAUGGAGGUGGCUCACGGAGAGCGCUGGAUGUGAGAGAGGUCGCAACUAAGAAAGAGAUGAGAACUUGUGAUGGACAUACACCCGAAGCCUCAACUAGAGCUACAGACAACACGGAUUUGGCCCAGAGUCAAGUUAAUUUGAGCUGGGUAUGUCUGAUCCAAGCCCAGCCUAAUGCGU